GCAAAUGAACAAUGUGCCGAGAGAGGAGUUUCAUGAGCAUAUGAGAAGGUUGGGAAAUCUCAACCAUCCCAACCUUCUUCCGCUUGUGGCCUAUUAUUAUAGAAAAGAAGAGAAGCUCCUCCUCUCUGCCUUUGUUCACAACGGUUGCUUGGCUAGCCACCUUCAUGGUAAUCAUAACCAUGAAAGGCCGGGGCUUGAUUGGUCAACCCGAUUAAAAAUUGUCAAAGGGGUAGCAAGGGGUUUGGCUUACCUAUACAAUGCACUCCCAAGCCUGAUUGUACCUCAUGGCCAUCUUAAAUCUUCCAAUGUGUUGUUGGAUGAAUUAUUUGAGCCCCUACUCACUGAUUAUGCCCUCAGUCCAGUCAUCAAUCUUGACCAUGCCCAACAAAUCAUCAUGCCUUACAAAUCUCCCGAGUAUGCUCAACUUGGUCGCAUUACAAAGAAAACUGACGUAUGGAGUUUUGGAAUUCUCAUAUUGGAGAUCUUGACGGGCAAAUUCCCUGAGAACUAUAUCGCACACAGGCAUAAUACUGAUGCUGACAUAUCCAGUUGGGUAAAUAUGUUAAUUACCGAGAAGCGGACGAGUGAAGUGUUUGACGUAGAGAUGGGAGGAAUCGGAAAUAGUAAAGCUGAAUUGCUCAAACUUUUAAAGAUUGGUUUGAGUUGUUGCGAGGAGAAUGUGGAAAGAAGGUUGGAUAUCAAGGAAGCUCUUCAGCAGAUUGAAGACUUGAAAGAAACUGAAAAUGAUGGAGAUCAGUACUCUUCAUCUCUCAUCACCACCGAGAGGGAUGCUUAUAGAGCUGUGUGAUUGUACGUACGUGUGGAAGGUGGCUUUCCCAAGCCAUGAAGAUCAAUCAAUAUAUAUGCUAUUAAUUAACCUUCAAUUCUUUAAAUUAUUAAUUAGUUUUUGUGUCUAUGUCUUUUAAUUUCUUUCUUGUUAUCAUAACAUAGGUAUUUGCAGUGAUUUCUCUAACUCAACUCCAUGUUGUAUUGUCUAAAUAGAACUAGCUAUAGUUAGCUUUUGCCCUCUCUCUUUCGCAAUUCACUGCAUGAAAUACCAGUUAAAUUGUGCAAAACUGAUAGAAUCUCAAUAGUUAGUAGUUGGUAGAGUCAUGUGUUGGAAAAAUAAGGAUAAGGAAGGUGCCACUAUUUAUUAUCGAAUUAUUAAUCAUGGAAAAUGCAAUCUAGGUGAAUGGACACGGUUUCACAGCUCAAAUGACAUACGAAAGAAAGGAGGAAGAAAAAUCAGAGGACCUCCUUACAGCUCUCGGCACACAUCUCAACUUGAGAAAACACCUAAAAUUAAGCUGUCAUUCUCGAUCCGUUUAUUCCUUUGUUUCAUUUCUUGUCAAUCUUUCCUUCCGCGUCCGCAUCACCAACCUAGCUCUUUCUUAGCUCCUAACAGCACCAUCAUCAUCAUCACCUUGCUUGGCCCUAUUCGCCUUUUAAUUUGAUUAGAGAUGGUGCUGUAAGAUAAUAAUAAUAAUAAUAAUAAUAAUAAAAACAAAAGAGUGUGAGAGAGAAAAGAAUGACAUGCAGCCAAAUCAUAUUAAUAUUAUCAUUACCGGUGACACCUUCUUUAGAAUAAGAGAAUCAUUGUUGUGGGUUUUGGUGGCUGAUCUCUUGUCCUCUCAUUAUCAUUGUCAUCUUCGAUGCUAAUGGGCGCGCGCUAUGCUCCGCUUGUGCGCGCACCCACAGCAUUAAUAUUGGCCUUGGUUGUUUUGGUAUUGGUUUCAUCAUCAUGUGCAGCUGGAGGCGCAAGCGGCGAUGCAGAGGCAUUAUGGAAUUUCAGGGAUUCAUUGACAAAUGUGGUAGCACUUAGCAGUUGGGAUCCAUCCAUAAACCCAAAGCCACCUUGCUCUGGCAAUAUUCCUAACUGGGUGGGGUUGUUUUGUAUUAAUGACAAGGUUUGGGGGUUGCGGCUUGAGAACAUUGGGCUAACGGGCAACAUUGACGUGGGAUCUCUAGGUUCAAUGUCUGCUCUUCGGAUGAUUAGCCUAAUGAACAAUACAUUUGUGGGUCCUUUGCCCAACCUCAAGAUGCUGCCAAACUUGAAGGCCCUCUACUUGUCAUACAAUCAUUUCUCAGGACAUAUACCUGACGAUGCAUUUGUUGGUUUACAAAAGUUGAGGAAACUCUGUUUGGCCAAUAACGAGUUUACAGGUAAUAUUCCUUCUUCCAUCACUACCUUGCCUAGUCUCCUCGUUCUCAGACUUGACGCUAACAAGUUUCGAGGUCAAAUCCCCGCUUUUCAACACAAUCAUUUGAAGAUUAUCAAUCUCUCCAACAACGAGUUAGAGGGUCCUAUCCCCGCCAAUCUAACCGCCUUCGACGCCUCCUCCUUUAGCGGUAUGAUAUGACUAUAUACAUAUAUGCUAGUUAAUUAGUCUUGUCCAUCAGUCAUAUAUAUACUAAAGUCAAUUUGAAUUGCAGGCAACCCACGCCUAUGUGGGCCGCCUCUGAAGAAUGAGUGUGAAGAAGCUGUAGCCCCAGUCCCAACGCAGGAGAGUACUACUUCAACUAAAAUGCGCGUUAUGAAAAUUUUACUUAUUCUGAUCGUGAUCGCAUUCAUAAUAGCCAUCCUGGUUUCAGUAUUGGCCAUAUGUCGCUUGAGAUCCCAAAAGCAGCUGCAACAGCCAGAUCAUCAUCAUCAUCAGUCGUCGUUCACCAACAAACACAUUCCUCCUCAUCCCGUUUUUGUGAAAACCAAAAGCCUAGCUGAACACUAUGAUGCUAGUCCUAAGCAUGUGUCAUCAGAUCAUCAUAGUCAUGGACAUUCUUCCAAGAAGGAGAAGGGGGAACAGAGCAAGCUUAUAUUCUUGAGGCAGGACCAACUCAAGUUUGAUUUACAAGAUUUGCUAAGGGCCUCCGCUGAAAUUCUAGGCAGUGCCUCAUUUGGUUCUUCCUACAAGGCAGUGGUUUUGGAUGGCCAAGCCGUGGUUGUUAAAAGGUACAAGCAAAUGAACAAUGUGCCGAGAGAGGAGUUUCAUGAGCAUAUGAGAAGGUUGGGAAAUCUCAACCAUCCCAACCUUCUUCCGCUUGUGGCCUAUUAUUAUAGAAAAGAAGAGAAGCUCCUCCUCUCUGCCUUUGUUCACAACGGUUGCUUGGCUAGCCACCUUCAUGGUAAUCAUAACCAUGAAAGGCCGGGGCUUGAUUGGUCAACCCGAUUAAAAAUUGUCAAAGGGGUAGCAAGGGGUUUGGCUUACCUAUACAAUGCACUCCCAAGCCUGAUUGUACCUCAUGGCCAUCUUAAAUCUUCCAAUGUGUUGUUGGAUGAAUUAUUUGAGCCCCUACUCACUGAUUAUGCCCUCAGUCCAGUCAUCAAUCUUGACCAUGCCCAACAAAUCAUCAUGCCUUACAAAUCUCCCGAGUAUGCUCAACUUGGU
rnacentral:lncRNA from 1 species